UUUUAAAAUUAUGAAUCAUAUUUAUCCUGCAAAAUAAUUUUUAUCAGUAAGAUUUAACUCUGUGGACUCUAAUAUAUGCCAAUUAUGCAAUUUGGAGAUACACUCUAAAAACGGCUGGGUUAUUUUUUAACCCAAAAUGCUGGGUUGAGUCUGUUGGGUCAUUUUGUUGGGUUAUUUAAUUUCUUUUUAAACACUUUUGGGUAGUUUCAAUUUACCAGGUGUUGGGUUAAACCUGCUGGGUUGCGUCGCUGGGUUGUUUCAGGCCAGCGCUGGGUUAUUUAACGCGCCUUGAAGAUGUUUAAAUCGCUCCCCAACUGUCACUUUGGAAGAACAACGGGGCAAAGCCACGGCUUUCUACUGUUUUAAGAAAAGCGCAUGGAUACAUUUGUGAGAGAAAAACUCGUCGAGUGCAGUCUUAUUGAGGCGUCUAACGGUUGGAACAAACAUGGAAUUCCUUAACUGAGCAGAGUCCACAAAACCCCAUCCAAUUGUCAUGGCGAUUUAAAAAUGUCAGCAGAUCUCUCAGGCAUUGAUCAUAAUCAAUGGACAGGUCACCGUAGCCACCCGUAUCCAGUACGUAUCCAGACCAGAUGGAGAUCAUCAUCUAGAAAGGACCUCUACAUCCCUGAAAGACAGCGCAGACCAGGACAACUAGAGCCCAGAUACAGAUCCCCUGUAAAGACCUUGUCUCAGAGGAGCACCAGGACAAGACCACAGGAAACAGAUGAUUCUUCUGCACAAUCUGACUUUGCUGCAGCCUGGAAUUGAACUACUGGUUUCGUCCGGUCAGAGGAGAACUGGCCCCCCAACUGAGCCUGGUUUCUCCCAAGGUUUUUUCUCCAUUCUGUCACCGAUGGAGUUUUGGUUCCUUGUUUUUCUUUAGUUGGGGACAAUUAAUAUCAAGCGAUAUCAUCCACUUGAUUGCACAGAGGGACGAUACAUCACUGAAUCAAUGACGAAUUGACUUUAACUGAAAACUGAGUGUUUACUUUUGUCCCUUUGCAUUAUUACACACUAUUUUCCUAUUUAAUACUGUAAAGCUGCUAUGAUGCAGUAUUUGAUCAAUAUGACAGGCUUAUUACUCAUAAUACAUGGAAAAUACAGCUACAAACUGACUUUGUUUUUCCAUUUGAAAUUUGGCAGUCACUGUGCAUUCAUGAAAACUGAAACCGUAAUUUUUGUUCAAUGUUUUUGAAACAGUGUUUUUGUUCAAGAUUUGCAAUUGUGUUUGGAUUGUCACAAUUUGUCACAUGUGGAAAACGCAAUAGAAAAUAUAAUUAGCAAUUCCUUUUGAAAAUUGUCCCUUCCAUAGACAGGCUCUAUAGCAGACUACACUGCUCUCAGGUGUAGAUCUUUGCUUCAGAGCUUUAGUGUUUGACAAUAGUUCACCCAAAAAUGAAAAUUGUCACUAAUUAUUCACCCUGGUUUGAAAGCUCUCGAAUAUCAACGAAAAUAUCUUAACUUGUGUUCUGAAGAUGAACGAAGGGCUUACGGGUUUGUAACGACAUGAAGUUGAGUAAUAAAUGACAGAAUUUUCAUUUUUGAGUGAACUAUAUGUUGAACUACCCUAAGUAGUGCACAUCUACCUACGUAGUAGUCUUUAUAUACUUGAUAUAAAUUUAAGGACAUCUUUAAAUGAUUUUACAUUUAAAUUUAAAGAAUGUUAAUUGUCAAUGUCAUUUCACUGUGUAUUUAAAUAGCUAAAAAUCUCAAAAUUUAAUAGUUAAACAGCUAGACACAGGUCAUUCAGAAAUAAUUUUCUUAUUUAUUGCAACUGUAUUUCUGUGAUUUGUAUUUAUUUAUUUUGCAUUUGCUGGAAACAAAAAAAGGGAAAAUUCCAUGUUGUUUGUCAUUGGUACAAAUUUUUGAAUGUCAGAUGGCAUUAAAAAUAUUUUUUAACAGUCUAAAUAACCUGUAUUCUUCAUUAUUUAUUAAUCCAUGAUUGCUUUGUUAAGCAAAAGUGAAAUGAGAAUAACCCAGCAAGAAUAACCCAGAAUCAUAAAAAUGCAAACCCACAAAUGGUAAAAAUGACUCUAUCUUGGGUUUUCUAAAUAACCCAGCAUGCUGGGUUAAAAUGUGUAAACCAGCAUGCUGGGUUACUUUAACCCAGCAUGUGUUCUGUCCAAUAUUUACCCAGUGCUGGGUUGCCAAUUGGGUUAUUUUUAACCCAGCCAUUUUUAGAGUGUAGAAACAGCAGAACAGCUGUUUUUUCAUAGUAAUUUAGUACAAACAUUCUGGAAUGAU
ensembl:lncRNA